GUGAGGAAUAUUGUGCAAUGGAGGCAACUCUGACGCAGCCAUGCCGCGUGCAGGAAGAAGGCGCUACGCGUUGUAAACUGCUUUUAACCGGGAAGAAACCCCAGGACGUGUCCUGGGUUGACGGUACCGGAGGAAUAAGCACCGGCUAACUUCGUGCCAGCAGCCGCGGUAAUACGAAGGGUGCAAGCGUUAUCCGGAUUCAUUGGGUUUAAAGGGUGCGUAGGCGGAGCGUUAAGUCAGUGGUGAAAUCCUGCAGCUUAACUGUAGACUUGCCAUUGAUACUGGCGCUCUUGAGUGCGCUUGAAGUGGGCGGAAUGUGUCGUGUAGCGGUGAAAUGCUUAGAUAUGGCACAGAACACCAAUUGCGAAGGCAGCUCACUAAGGCGAUACUGACGCUGAGGCACGAAAGCGUGGGGAUCGAACAGGAUUAGAAACCCGGGUAGUCC
rnacentral:rRNA from 1 species